rnacentral:rRNA from 1 species
UACGUAGGGGGCAAGCGUUGUCCGGAAUCAUUGGGCGUAAAGCGCGCGUAGGCGGCCCGGUAAGUCCGCUGUAAAAGUCCAGGGCUCAACCCUGGAAAGCCGGUGGAUACUGUCGGGCUAGAGUCCGGAAGAGGCGAGUGGAAUUCCUGGUGUAGCGGUGGAAUGCGCAGAUAUCAGGAGGAGCACCGAUGGCGAAGGCAGCUCGCUGGGACGGUACUGACGCUGAGGAGCGAAAGCGUGGGGAGCGAACAGG